rnacentral:lncRNA from 1 species
ACUUCUCUAGGGAGUUCUGAGCUGCAAGAGCCCAGCUACUCGCCGAACCCGGGCCGCCUGCGUGAGUAACUUGGGGCGGCCAGGAGCACGGGAAGGGCGCCAGACAGAGAGCCUUUGGCUGCUUCUGAGACCGGCUGUGGGCUGCCACCGCUGAGCGGCGCGGAGGCUGCAGCGUUCCCUCUCAGGACAGAAAGCAGGCGUUGGGGACUGUUACUCGCAGCCUGCCAGGGGCAGCAGCCGCCCCAGGUUCAAGUGGCUAUGUGCCAGGAUACUCAGGCGCGGCUGUUGGCUGCCCAUGGGAGAGCCAGUGCUCUCCGCAGGUCCAAAGUGCAAGGCCGGGCUAUUCCCGGACUUGCCUAGGAGCAGGGGCCCCCAGCGCGUCUGGGAUUGCCCCGGCGCGUCGGGCGCGCGAACUUGUGCGCAAGGGAGAAGAGCGCUUACCAUGGAACAUGGUCUGCGGGAGGCGGGCGUAGUCAUGAUGACCGCAACUGGAGCAGGAGCAAGCUCUCACCGCCCAUAGUCACUCCCAGGACCCUGGUCUUCCGCGGAGUUGCCGAGUCUGUGUUGGGCAGGGUGAUCUCUGCAGCUGGUUCCUCUUACCCACGCCGCGACUGCAGUUUCAUCCAUCCCAAGGGGGGCGGCACACACUACGGCGUGGCUCUGCGCUUUGCCUUUUCCAUAACUUCCGUAGGAUCCGCCAGCAGUGUACUUUCAGUUUCUACUUUGCGCUUGGUCUGCAGGUUCAAUCUUUGGGAUCAUCAGCAUGGAAUCUUCAUUAUCCCCUCUCUCCUGGGCACCUGCUUCCCGCGCACCUGGAUGAGGACCAGAGGAAUUCGCGAAUUUCCGAAUCACCGCAGGAAAAACCAGCUGGCCUGAAUCAAAGCAAUUCUGGGUAAAAGACUUCCCAGAUGAUCUCUCAACGCCUUGGCAACGCUUGGCGACUGGGAGCUAGAACCAUGAGUUGUUAAUGUGUGCACGGAAGCCACAAGUGUGCAGGACGCAAGCUGGGUUAUUGGAAGCGGACGACACCAAGGAGGCGUUGCCGCGGAUGUGGUGGACGAUGCCAAGUCGUCUUUUAAAAAAGGAAGUGAAGAAUGAUUAAGAGGGUCACGCCCUCUACCACUCCAACCUCUCUAAUCAGUCUCUUUCUGCUCCGUCUGCUGUACAUGCACCUGCUCAGGUGAGACCUCAAGGAAAAAUAAUCCUGUGGGUCCACCUAAUCUGGUAUCCCAACUGAAUCUUUGGCAUUAGGCUGGCUGAGGUCUUGUUGGAAUCUGGGGAUUCAGCCAGAGUCGGGUUGA